rnacentral:rRNA from 1 species
GAUGAACGCUGGCGGCGUGCCUAAUACAUGCAAGUCGAGCGAACGGACGAGAAGCUUGCUUUUCUGAUGUUAGCGGCGGACGGGUGAGUAACACGUGGAUAACCUACCUAUAAGACUGGGAUAACCUCGGGAAACCGGAGCUAAUACCGGAUAAUAUUUUGAACCGCAUGGUUCAAAAGUGAAAGACGGUCUUGCUGUCACUUAUAGAUGGAACCGCGCUGCAUUAGCUAGUUGGUAAGGUAACGGCUUACCAAGGCAACGAUGCAUAGCCGACCUGAGAGGGUGAUCGGCCACACUGGAACUGAGACACGGUCCAGACUCCUACGGGAGGCAGCAGUAGGGAAUCUUCCGCAAUGGGCGAAAGCCUGACGGAGCAACGCCGCGUGAGUGAUGAAGGUCUUCGGAUCGUAAAACUCUGUUAUUAGGGAAGAACAUAUGUGUAAGUAACUGUGCACAUCUUGACGGUACCUAAUCAGAAAGCCACGGCUAACUACGUG